GAUGAAGAACGUAGCGAAAUGCGAUAAGUAAUGUGAAUUGCAGAAUUCAGUGAAUCAUCGAAUCUUUGAACGCACAUUGCGCCCGCCAGCAUUCUGGCGGGCAUGCCUGUCCGAGCGUCAUUUCAACCCUCAGGGUCCCUCCGCCUCGCGCGGUCGGAGCCUGGUGUUGGGGAUCGGCCCGCCCGCGCGGCGCCGUCCCCCAAAUACAGUGGCGGUCCCGCCGCAGCCUCCCCUGCGCAGUAGUUAUCAACUCGCACUGGAGCGCGGCGCGGCCACGCCGUAAAACCCCCGACUUUUAGAAAGUUGACCUCGGAUCAGGUAGGAAUACCCGCUGAACUUAAGCAUAUCAAUAAGCGGAGGA
rnacentral:misc_RNA from 1 species